GGGGAAUAUUGGACAAUGGGCGAAAGCCUGAUCCAGCCAUGCCGCGUGUGUGAAGAAGGUCUUCGGAUUGUAAAGCACUUUAAGUUGGGAGGAAGGGUUUCUGGCUAAUAUCCGGGAAUUUUGACGUUACCGACAGAAUAAGCACCGGCUAACUUCGUGCAAGCAGCCGCGGUAAUACGAAGGGUGCAAGCGUUAAUCGGAAUUACUGGGCGUAAAGCGCGCGUAGGUGGUUCGUUAAGUUGGAUGUGAAAGCCCCGGGCUCAACCUGGGAACUGCAUCCAAAACUGGCGAGCUAGAGUAUGGGAGAGGUAGGUGGAAUUCUCGGUGUAGGGGUAAAAUCCGUAGAGAUCGAGAGGAAUACUCAUUGCGAAGGCGACCUGCUGGAACAUUACUGACGCUGAGGUGCGAAAGCGUGGGGAGCAAACA
rnacentral:rRNA from 1 species